GAAUUUCAUCACUUGACCUUUCAAAUUCACAGCACCACUUCACCAAACUUCCAUCUCCCUUUGGAGUAACAGAAAGGCUGCCUUUGAAACUCUUGUAGUAUUUCAAGGUUUCACCAUCAAUGACUGAGUAAACUAGUGUUCUGUUUGCAUCAUCAACUGACUCUAUUUUCUCUUUUGAGUAUGUCACCAAUGGGGACCCUAUGAAAUGAACAGGACAAAAGAACAGAGUUACGAUGUCAUUUCUGUUUAAUUUUCAGAUGAGACAUUUAAUUUGUGAUCCUAGAUAGAUUCCAUAUCGACUUGUGAAUGAAGAGUUCCCUUUUGAAAGGGAUUUCACUUAUUAUCUGCUAUUAUCAUAAUAUCAUAAAAAAUAUUUCACUUCAUCAUUAUAUAAAAGUUAAACUCUUUAGGGACCACUCGUGCUCCUUACUACACCUUUAGGGGUCGUUUGGUAGAGUGCAUAAGAAUAAUACAAAAUAUGAUGUAUUAGUAAUGCUUGUGUUAGUAAUGUUUGUGUUAACCAUGCUUGCAUUAGUUAUACUUGUAUUUUUCUUAUGCAUUGUUUGGUUUAAUAUAUUAAAAAUAACAUGAAUUACAUAAUUUUUAAACAAAUAUUUUUUUUUUUACACAAUACCCACCAUAUAAUGUUGGAAAGGAUGCGAAAAUAUCUUUUGAGAGAAAAUAGUGUCUUUAAUCAUGUUAAUGCAUGCAUUGGAUCCAUUACAUUGCUAAUACCAUGGAUUUUGAGGUAUUAGUAAUACACACCUUAAUACACAAUAGAGUGUAUAACUAAUGCAAACAUUAGUUAUACAUAGGGCAAAGAAAUAUACCAAACAAGGUAUUAAUAAUACUCAUUAAACUAAUAAAUGUAUUAACUUCCAAUACACUCUACCAAACGACCCCUUAAGGGGUCGGUUGUUACGAUAUCCCAUGCGGUGGGAUAUCUCAUGAGAUUAACUAUCUCAUCUUCUAUAUGGGGUAACAAUUUUAUUAUUUUAGAAGAAAAUUGUCUCAGAAUAAGUUAAUAUCCCAAAUUAAACACGAGAUAAAAUUAAUCCCAAAGUUUAGAUAGAAAUUAUUAUCCUUAUCCCAUGUACCAAACCAUCCCAUAGUUCCUUUAACUACUUUUUAGAGCCAACAAAAUGUGAAAAUCUAUUCACUUGAAAAGUAGUGUUCCAACAUGUUAAUUUGGGGACAAAAUUAAAAACGUAGUCCCUAAUAUUGUUUUAGGGACCAUAGUACUAGUCACUAAAACCCUUUAAGCUAAGGACCAAUUAUUAAACCUUACAUAUUGUCAUCGUCUUUUAGUGGUGAAACCUAUAAAGAUAGGUGACAAUCAAAAUUUUCUGGUCUCUGCUGACUUCUUGAGACUAGUUUUCCGUUGCUAAUGACCAUUUUUCUUGUAGCGAUCAAGUAACCAUUCGUAAAAAGGGAAAUAUUUUGUUACGGUAUAGGUUAAAACAUUAGGAAACAUUAAUGCAUGAACUAGGUUAUUAGUUUUGUUUACCUUCAGCAUACUUGAUCAAGCGAACAGAACCAACAGACUUGUCAUCACCUUCAACAACUUCAAUACUCUUGUACUGCUUAGGGAAAGCCUUAGGGAAGAGAUUUGUAGAGUCCCUAAUGCCAUUCCAAAACUUAUCUGCUCCACUUUGCACCUCAACUUCAACCUCAAU
rnacentral:lncRNA from 1 species